rnacentral:tRNA from 1 species
UGGCUCAGUUGUUAGAGCAUGGCGCUUGCAACGCCAGGGUUGUGGGUUCAAUUCACAC